AAAACUUUGAAAACCCAUUACAAGGCCUACAAUUGGCCACGUGUCCCAGCCAUCUCCAUCUUUCUUUUUGCUUUUGAGGGCACUUUGGUAAAUUCAACAUUAUACUACCUAACUCUAAAAGAUAACUUGACUUUUGUCUACUAUGAUUUGACAACAUUUAUUACCCAUUUAUCUUCCCAAUGUAUCUUUCUAACUCCAUAUCUAUCAUUUUCAUUUCUAAGAAAGACCUUCAUUAAUGUCCUGCACAUCUUCAUUUACAAUUUACUUCUUCAUUUAUUCCUUUCUCCAUUAAUGUCCAUUGAGACAAAUCCAUCAUAUAACCCGUUAAUGUCGCCGGGUAGAUCUUAUACUCAUUACUUUCUAUUGAAGCCACCAAAUCUGAGGAUCGAAGCAAUUAUCGAAGCUCUUCAAGAAAAGAAAGUGGUGAUUCUACUAGAUGACAUAUCCUGUUACUACAACCCGUAGCUACCUUACCAGGAUGGUGAUGGAUACAAGGGAAACAAGAUCCAAUUCUCGGGUCCGUUG